rnacentral:tRNA from 1 species
UAGUAAUUUACUAUUUUAUUAUAGAUUAUUCUUGUGAAAUAGUACUGCUAGUAAUUUACCCGUACUGC